rnacentral:rRNA from 1 species
UGGCCGCGUAGGUCCGUCGGGAAAUCUACUGGCUUAACCAGUAGGCGUCCGGCGGAAACCCCGUGGCUUGGGACCGGGAGACCUGAGGGGUACGUCCGGGGUAGGAGUGAAAUCCCGUAAUCCUGGACGGACCACCGGUGGCGAAAGCGCCUCAGGAGAACGGAUCCGACAGUGAGGGACGAAAGCUAGGGUCUCGAACCGGAUUAGAUACCCGGGUAGUCCUAGCCGUAAACGAUGCUCGUUAGGUGUGGCGCAGGCUACGAGCCUGCGCUGUGCCGUAGGGAAGCCGUGAAACGAGCCGCCUGGGAA